UACGUAGGGUGCAAGCGUUGUCCGGAAUUAUUGGGCGUAAAGAGCUCGUAGGCGGUUUGUUGCGUCGGCUGUGAAAUCCCGAGGCUCAACCUCGGGUCUGCAGUCGAUACGAGCAAGCUAGAGUGUUGCAGGGGAGACUGGAAUUCCUGGUGUAGCGGUGAAAUGCGUAGAUAUCGUUUGGAACGCCAAUGGUGAAAACAGGUAGCUGGGAGUGUGCCGACGCUGAGACACGAAAGCCAGGGGAGCGAACGGG
rnacentral:rRNA from 1 species